rnacentral:rRNA from 1 species
AGUCGAGCGGAUCUUUGGGAGCUUGCUCCCAAAGRUUAGCGGCGGACGGGUGAGUAACACGUGGGCAACCUGCCUAUGAGACUGGGAUAACUCCGGGAAACCGGGGCUAAUACCGGAUAAUUCUUUUCUACACAUGUAGAAAAGCUGAAAGAUGGUUUCGGCUAUCACUCAUAGAUGGGCCCGCGGCGCAUUAGCUAGUUGGUGAGGUAACGGCUCACCAAGGCGACGAUGCGUAGCCGACCUGAGAGGGUGAUCGGCCACACUGGGACUGAGACACGGCCCAGACUCCUACGGGAGGCAGCAGUAGGGAAUCUUCCGCAAUGGACGAAAGUCUGACGGAGCAACGCCGCGUGAGUGAUGAAGGUUUUCGGAUCGUAAAACUCUGUUGUUAGGGAAGAACAAGUACCGGAGUAACUGCCGGUACCUUGACGGUACCUAACCAGAAAGCCACGGCUAACUACGUGCCAGCAGCCGCGGUAAUACGUAGGUGGCAAGCGUUGUCCGGAAUUAUUGGGCGUAAAGCGCGCGCAGGUGGUCUCUUAAGUCUGAUGUGAAAGCCCCCGGCUCAACCGGGGAGGGUCAUUGGAAACUGGGAGACUUGAGUGCAGGAGAGAAGAGUGGAAUUCCACGUGUAGCGGUGAAAUGCGUAGAGAUGUGGAGGAACACCAGUGGCGAAGGCGACUCUUUGG